rnacentral:sRNA from 1 species
GCUUAGCCCUGAUAGAAGUGGAAAUCCUUUUGUGCCGGUCCCGAGGCUUCGGGAGGCAGAAAAGAUUGAAACGGAUAGCAGGAAAUUGC